GCGUAGCUCAAUUUGGGGGAGCGACGGUCUCACAAUUCUGCAGGAUGUUGGUUCAAUUCCAACCGUU
rnacentral:tRNA from 1 species